AUACGGAGGAUCCGAGCGUUAUCCGGAUUUAUUGGGAUUAAAGGGUGCGCAGGCGGCCAUUUAAGUCAGCGGUUAAAUCGUGGGGCUCCACCCCAUUCUGCCGUUGAUACUGGGUGGCUUGAUUGCGGUCGAGGUUGGCGGACUUCGUUGUGUAGCGGUGAAAUGCAUAGAUAUGACGAAGAACACCGAUUGCGUAGGCAGCUGACCAGAUCGCAAAUGACGCUCAUGCACGAAAGUGCGGGGAUCGAACAGGAUUAGAUACCCUGGUAGUCCGCACAGUAAACGAUGAAUACUUGUUUUCGGCGAUAUAAUGUCGGAGGCAAAGCGAAAGCGAUAAGUAUUCCACCUGGGGAGUACGCCGGCAACGGUGAAACUUAAAGGAAUUGACGGGG
rnacentral:rRNA from 1 species